GGAAGAGAGACCUCUAAACUAUCCAUUACGCUAUUUCAGCGGCAAGGAGAACUCUUCUCUCGUCUGGAAAAGUGAGGGAAUCUUAGCUUAAACAAGAAAGCGUUUACAUUUAAAGUUAAAUUAUUUUGCAAAAUUGUGCUGAUGGAAGGAAAAUCCGAAACUACUGUUGAAAUAGAGGAAAAGAUUCAAAAAGAGGACAUGCAUGUCAAAGUCGAGGGCAAAGAUGAUGAGCCAAAUGAGGUGGAACUUGAAUUGAAGACCAAAUCAGUAGA
rnacentral:misc_RNA from 1 species